rnacentral:rRNA from 1 species
GCUUCCGUAGGUGAACCUGAACCUGCGGAAGGA